GGUGGAGUCGCAUAGCCCGGCCUAGUGCGCCGCACUCGAAAUGCGGUAGGGCGGCAACGCCCUCGUGGGUUCGAAUCCCACCUCCACCA
rnacentral:tRNA from 1 species